GUGCACAUGCUUAAGCAGAACAAAAAGUGAAGACUGAGUCUGAAACAGGAAAGAUAUUCCCACACAAGUCCAUCAAAGGCUGAGAGAAAGCUCUAUCUCUUGCUCUAUCCCAUUGCCUACCUACCCACAAGCCCUAAUCGGUUCAGAACACGGAGAGCAGAAGGAGUGAUAUUUUGGCUGUCCCCAGAAUCCAAACCGAAAUGAAACAAUAAGUAACAGGAAGAAGGAGCCUAUCAUCAAAAUAGAAACUUGAAUACUUGUAACACUGGAAUUGAGAAUGCACCUUAGAGCAAUGGCUGUAGUUGGCCUUGCUAAUUUUUCAUCUUCAAAUCCAGAAUGCUGGGGUUCCUCUCUAAGGAAGGGGAGGCUGCACUCCAGGCUGCACUCACUCAGGCUGAAGUGCAAUGACACUAUCACAGCUCACUGUAGCCUCAAACUCCCAGGCUCAAGCAAUUCUCCCACUUCAG
rnacentral:lncRNA from 13 species